rnacentral:rRNA from 1 species
GAACAAAAUCCCUACGCGCCUGGAGGGAUCCGAUGAGGCCUGGCAUCUCCAUCUCCCCUCUCCCCCAACUCCUUCUCCACCUCCGGCCGCCGCCACGGCCAGGCCGGCGUGGCGGUGAGCCAUCCAUUCAACAGCACCACCAUCGCCUCCUGCCACCACUCCACCACGCACCACCAGCAGCACCAUCCAUCGUCCACACGCCUCCACCAGCGCCGCCACCAGCGCCCACCUCGCGCACCCCUCCUUCUUCCUCUCGACCUCCUGCUGCUGCCUUCUCUUCUUCCACGCAACGUGCUGCUACUCCUUCUUCCUAUGCGCCCCUGCCGCUCUUCUUGUUGAAGCCCUUUCCCCUCACCACGCUGCUGUUCCUUCUUCUUCCCCUUGCUGUUACUAUUUCUCUUCUUCCCUCACCUCUAGCUGCUGCUCCUAGUUCUUCUCUGAACCCAAACUGCUGUUGCUUCUCUCCUCUCUUACUUCUUGCAAAUUUCUGAAAACUGCUAGGUGAACCUUGUGUACUGUUCUGAACAAUUAAUUUGUGCCUUGAGAUGCUUAUGUAAUAUUCAGAUUUGAAGUGUACUUGCAACCUGCUGUUUGCUCUGUUUAAGUACUUGUACAAUAUAGUGUAUGUGUUCUGAGAUCUGACUAGUUGAUGCUUUGUUACUUUGAGAGAUACUUGAUCUAAUAUAUUUUGGUUCUGUCAAUUAGUAUUCUGCUAGUAUAUGUGUGUGUGUGUGUGUGUGUGUAAUUCAUCAAAAAUAUUGUUGUGUGCUGAUGAUUAGUGUCCAGUUUACUGUUCUUGUGAUAUAUACACAUAUGUAUGUGUUAUGUUCAUGUCCUUUUUACUUCUCUUGUCAUUGAUGUUAGCUUGUGUUAGUAUCUUAAUUUCUCAAGAAUUACAAAAGUACCAAAAAGAAAGUUAGUAAAAUCUAUAUCUACCUUUGCUUAUCCGCAUUUUCAUUGGCGACAAUCUUGAUAGUUUAGGUUUUAUUUCUGCAUUCAUAAGCUGAACUGUGUCACCUAGCUUUAGCCAAGCGUUGUUGCCAUCACCUAGUCCUUGUGGAGAACACGACAUCCGUAGUUUGGGAAAAUUGUUCCACUACAUCUACAAAUGAUCAUUUUGGCACCGUUGCCGGGGACUAGCAUCGAGCGAUUGUGUGAAGCUAUAGACUAGGCUUAGUAUAGUUUUUGUUUAAAUUUCCAGUCAAAUUUAUUUCUGUGUUUAUUUUAUCUUUUUAUUUUUUGUUGCUUCGGCUUAUUAGGGUACUAACCCUCUCACCAGUCUUUGAUGUUUGUGAGCAUGUGUAGGAUAUCUUACUAUUUGUAGGCUCAUUGACAGUUGCACUUGAACAUAUGGCUUUAGUACGUGAUCUUUGGUUGCCAAGUAGUUUGGACACGAUGACAGGGCCAAUUUGGCCAUCUAUUGAGGCCGAAAAUUUUGAGUUGAGGCCUGGACUUAUUGCUGUUGUCUUGCAGAAUCAGUUUAGAGGAUUACCCAAUGAAGACCCUCAUGAGCACAUUAGUAAUGUUCUGGAGUAUGCCAAUAUAGUCCAGUACCAUGGCGUUUCCGAAGAUGCUAUCAAGUGUAUGUUGUUCACAUUCUCUCUCAGAGAUGCUGCUAAGGACUGGAACUAUUCUUUGCCAUCAAGAUCAUACACUUGGGAUGAUAUUUCGCAAGCUUUCCUGCAUAGAUAUUUUCCACUUUACAAGCAAGCUGCAAUUCGUGACCAGAUCCUCAGUUUUGUGCAAGAUGGAAGUGAGAGCUUGUAUGAAGCUUGGGAGAGAUAUAAUUAUUUGCUUAGAAAAUGUCCUAAUCAUGGGCAAAAGGAUUGGUUAGUGCUUCAGAUAUUCUAUAGAGGGCUAACACAUGCUUCAAGAGAUCUUAUUGAUAUGUCAGCUGGUGGAACAAUCAUGAACAAUACCGUUGAGGGUGCAAUUAUUCUCAUUGAGAGCAUUGCCUUCCACCAAAUGCAAUGGGGUUAUGAAAGGCCUAGUUCAAAUCCAAAGGUUGCAAGCUGUGUGCAAUCAGAAGCUGUGUGUUCCAUAAGUGAACAGAAAUCAUCCAUGGUACCUAAUAUUCAAAACCAGCAUGUUUCAUUCCAGGGACAACAACAUUUCAGAACUGAAUUAGAGCCUCCAUAUAGAAACAUUGAUCUUACUUCAAUUAUCCUUGAUGAUGAUUAUGAUAUUUUCCAAGAUGAUGCAACCACUGUAGAUCAGAUGGAUACCACAGUAGCAGAUCCAAUACCUCAUGGAAAUGAAACUGUUCAGAAUGAGUCAAAGUUGCAAGAAGAGGUUUAUGAGGAACCUACUCUGUUUGACGCUAAGUUGAGACCGCAAGAUAUGGAGAAAUUCACUUGUGUUAGUCAGCUAUCUCACUGGUGGAAUUUAGUCAUGUCACCAAUUGCCCACACUUGUGUUACAACUGUAUCUGGACUAUUUGUCAAGAAGAAAUCAUUAGCUCCACCAGUGGUUACCUCUAUCACAGUUAAAGAGAGUAUCUCAGAGAGGAAUAGUGAAGAUGAGAUUCCAACUCCUACACAUACAAUUAAGCAAGUCGGAGACAUUCCAAGGAGAGAGAUACAAGAGGUUGAGUCAAAUUUAGAAGAGCUGAUACUUCAAUAUCCUGAGAAGAUCCCAUGUGUUGCUGAGCUGCAUGACAGGUGGAAGUCAUCGGUGUCACUGUUGAAACUUAGCAAUGAUGGUGAUGAGGAGAACAUUGCUCAGAAAGACAGUGAGGUAGUGAUCUCAGCACCCCUAGCAGAUCAUGUUAGUGAAUAUUCACAGAUGGGGACACUACAGACUCAAUUAAGUGUUGCUGGUAGUAGCACCAUAUAAGAUCCAGAGGAAGAGAGACCUCAGAUUGAAGAUGUACUCGAAGCCAAGGCACAAGAUGAUCUACUACUCUUGAAGAAGCAAAAGAAGCUGUUGUAGAUGAACUUGAAGAACCAAAAAUUCAUUUGCCUAUUGUCACACAAGAGCGUGAUGUAGCAGGUUUAUCUAAUCCUCUUAAUGACAUGUCUUCAUAUGAUUUGUUUGCUACUACCUUGCAUUGCAUGAUGCCAUCACUUAAGGUAGAUUUGAAAAACUAUUUGCUUGGACAUGAUCAUACACACCCUGUUAGUGGCAUUGCUCAUAUCUCUGUUCAUGCUACUUAUGUUCCUAAUGCUAUACCCAUGCUUAAUGAAACGUGUGAUUCUAAUACUAGCAUUGAGCUUACUGAUUUGUACCAUCCUAAACAUGUGCUUUAUAGCUAUGCUUAUGUAAUUGGAUAUUCGAUUGAUGACUUGGAGGGUAUUAUCCCUACCACUUGCAUUGUCUCUUUCGUUGCGUGCUCUUUCAGGAUCUUGCUUGUGCAUGAAUGACUACAUGCUGACCAAGUUCGAGAUGACAUUCCCUGGGACCCCGAUGGACCCAUGGCAUGGGGAUGAGGAGAAGCAAGGAGCACACAUGAAGAGAGAAGCUAGAGCAGACAUGAGGAUAGGGAAGCAAAAGGAGAGGAGUCACAAUGCACGAGGAAGCAAAGGAGAAGAGUUGCAGUUUAGAGAGUGUCGAGCGAGUGCUACUUCCUAUAAAAACCCGAAAUGUGCGCAAAGGCACUAAUAAUCGUCAAGAUUCCGUCUAUGUGGCUAUCGACAAGAGUGAAGAAGAGAAGAGAAGGAAGAAGAGACUUGUGUGAGAUGAAGAGAAGUAAUUAGGGGGCUAGAUAAAGAAGUGGGAGGACCUUCUUGUUAAGAAAGAAGAGAAGAAAGAGGGACAAAUCACAAAGUGCAGAUGAGAGGAGGGGAACAAAAUCCCUAUGCGCCUGGAGGGAUCCGAUGAGGCCUGGCAUAUCCAUCUCCCCUCUCACCCAACUCCUUCUCCACCUCCGGCUGCUGCUGCGGCCAGGCCGGUGUGGCGGCGCGCCAUCCAUUCACCAGCACCACCAUCGCCUCCUGCCACCACUCCACCACGCACCACCAGCACCACCAUCCAUCGUCCACACGCCUCCACCAGCACCGCCACCAGCGCCCACCUCGCGCACCCCUCCUUCUUCCUCUCGACCUCCUGCUGCUGCCUUCUCUUCUUCCACGCAACCUGCUUCUGCUCCUUCUUCCUAUGCGCCCCUGCUGCUCUUCUUGCUAAAGCCCUUUCCCCUCACCACGCUGUUGUUCCUUCUUGUUCCCCUUGCUGCUACUAUUUCUCUUCUUCCCUCGCAUCUAGCUGCUGCUCCUAGUUCUUCUCUGAACCCAAACUGCUGCUGCUUCUCUCCUCUCUUACUUCUUGCAAAUUUCUGAAAACUGCUAGGUGAACCUUGUGUACUGUUCUGAACAAUUAAUUUGUGCCUUGAGAUGCUUAUGUAAUAUUCAGAUUUGAAGUGUACUUGCAACCUGCUGUUUGCUCUGUUUAAGUACUUGUACAAUAUAGUGUAUGUGUUCUGAGAUCUGACUAGUUGAGGCUUUGUUACUUUGAGAGAUACUUGAUCUAUUAUAUUUUGGUUCUGUGAAUUAGUAUUCUGCUAUUAUAUGUGUGUGUGUGUGUGUGUGUAAUUCAUCAUAAAUAUUGUUGUGUGCUGAUGAUUAG